rnacentral:rRNA from 1 species
UACAGAGGUCCCAAGCGUUGUUCGGAUUCACUGGGCGUAAAGGGUGCGUAGGUGGUGAGGUAAGUCGGAUGUGAAAGCUCGGAGCUCAACUCCGAAAUGGCAUUGGAAACUACCUUGCUCGAGGGUUGGAGGGGAGACUGGAAUACUUGGUGUAGCAGUGAAAUGCGUAGAUAUCAAGUGGAACACCAGUGGCGAAGGCGAGUCCCUGGACAACUCCUGACACUGAGGCACGAAAGCUAGGGGAGCAAACAGG